rnacentral:misc_RNA from 1 species
UGGAUGGAGUGGGUUGGCAGGCUCCGUGCUCGCGCAUCGAACUGUCGACCUUCUGUCCGCUUCAGUCUAUCCCCAAGUGCUUGCGACUUGUGGGUGCUUUAGAUAUCCUGUGUUGCCUACCCACAAAAGGGAAUUCGAUGGUCUUGUUGUCUCGGUUCGCCUUGUGCCCCUUGGGGCGCUGGGUGGACGUGCGGCGUGCCCCGUGUUCCCGGCAUGCUAGAUGCGAUUGUUCUUUGCUGCUGUGGCCCAUGGGGUCUUCGCCCGUUCUCUCGGAUGUGGAAUGCAAAGCGUGGACGUGAGGUCUUGGCCUCGUCUCGUCCAAGCCAACGCACUGUCCUCGGACAGACUCGGACGACUGCUGUGCUCGUCUUGGCCGGCCUCUUGGGGCUGGUCAUGCGGGUGUCGGCGUCGCAAAGGAAUGCUAC